rnacentral:miRNA from 1 species
AAUGCAUUGCACGCAGGGUAGC